CUAAAUCAGGUACAGCUUCCAUGUUGUUGGCAGCACUGUAGUAAUUGAUGCUGUGUCCUGGGCUAUUUUUUUCUUGGGAAAAGAAUUAUAAGCUAUGU